GAUGAACGCUAGCGGCAGGCUUAAUACAUGCAAGUCGUGGGGCAGCGCAGUGUAGCAAUACAUGGGCGGCGACCGGCAAACGGGUGCGGAACACGUACGCAACCUUCCUUUAAGCGGGGGAUAGCCCAGGGAAACUUGGAUUAAUACCCCAUAAGAUUAUGGUGUGGCAUCACACAGUAAUUAAAGCUCCGGCACUUAAAGAUGGGCGUGCGGCUGAUUAGGUAGUUGGCGGAGUAACAGCCCACCAAGCCAACGAUCAGUAACUGGCGUGAGGGCACGACCAGUCACACGGGCACUGAGACACGGGCCCGACUCCUACGGGAGCAGCAGUAAGGAAUAUUGGUCAAUGGACGCAAGUCUGAACCAGCCAUGCCGCGUGGAGGAUGACGGCCCUCUGGGUUGUAAACUUUCUUUUAUUUGGGAAGAAACCACUCUUUUCUAAGGGUGUUGACGGUACCAUUUGAAUAAGCACCGGCUAACUCCGUGCCACGCCGCCGC
rnacentral:rRNA from 1 species